ensembl:lncRNA
CAAGAACUAGAGCUCUAACUGUGAGAACCAUGACAGUAUCACUUUAUACUGUCAGUUAACUCUUUCUGUAUGUACCAUAAUACCAACAAAUUGCAGUUCUUCAGCUGUUAUUAAAGAAUUUUCAAGUAGUUUUCUGCAACAGGUCCUCAAUAAUCUCAUGACACAGCACUUCAGAAACUGAAAGCAAUGGAAGGACUGUUAAGAUGAAAAAUAAAUAGAUGAACUGGGAAGUCAUUAACAUCAACAAAACUUAUCUUCCUGGCUUCACCAUGUGGUCAACAGUUGGAUGUGCAAGUGGAUACCGGUGAUGAGUGAUGUUCCUCAGGAGUCAAUAUCGGAGCUGACACUAUUUAACUUCUUUGUUGGUGACAUGGACAGUAGGAUUGACUGCACCUUCAGCAAGUUUUCUGAUGACACCAAGCUACAUGUUGUAGUCAAUAUACUGGAGGGAAAAGAUGCCAUACAGAGAAACCUUGAUAGGCUUGAGAGGCUGAACAGCCCCAGCUCUUCCAGCCUGUUCUCCUUCCAUCCUUUGGAUCAUUUUUGUGGCUCUCCUCUGGAUGUGCUCCAAUAAGUCCACACCUCUCAAGUACUAAGGACUUCACACCUGGAUGCAAUACUCCAGGAUAUGUCUUGGCAUCUUCUGUGCUCCAUGACACCAUAUGCCAAAGAGGUCUAGUAAUCCUAACAUGCUAUUAGUUGGUGUUUGACAUUUGCUCCGCCAUAGCACUGUCUUCUCAGUGGCAAAGUAAUAUAUGACAUGAUCCUAUGAACCAAAAUAGUAGUCACACAUCCCUUCACUUCACCAGAAGUAUGUGAGAGAGUUCACAAGUCUAGAAGGGAAUAUGUAAAGCAA